AACGAACGCUGGCGGCAUGCCUAACACAUGCAAGUCGAACGAGACCUUCGGGUCUAGUGGCGCACGGGUGCGUAACGCGUGGGAACCUGCCUUAGGUUCGGAAUAAAUCCCCGAAAGGGGUGCUAAUACCGGAUAAUGUCUUCGGACCAAAGAUUUAUCGCCUUUGGAUGGGCCCGCGUUGGAUUAGCUAGUUGGUAGGGUAAAAGCCUACCAAGGCGACGAUCCAUAGCUGGUCUGAGAGGAUGAUCAGCCACACUGGGACUGAGACACGGCCCAGACUCCUACGGGAGGCAGCAGUGGGGAAUAUUGGACAAUGGGCGAAAGCCUGAUCCAGCAAUGCCGCGUGAGUGAUGAAGGCCUUAGGGUUGUAAAGCUCUUUUACCCGGGAUGAUAAUGACAGUACCGGGAGAAUAAGCUCCGGCUAACUCCGUG
rnacentral:rRNA from 1 species